rnacentral:misc_RNA from 1 species
GAUGAAGAACGUAGCGAAAUGAGAUAAGUAAUGUGAAUUGCAGAAUUCAGUGAAUCAUCGAAUCUUUGAACGCACAUUGCGCCCGCCUGUAUUCUGGCGGGCAUGCCUGUUCGAGCGUCAUUUCAACCAUCAAGCCCCCGGCUUGUGUUGGGGACCUGCGGCUGCCGCAGGCCCUGAAAAGCAGUGGCGGGCUCGCUGUCACACCGAGCGUAGUAGCAUACAUCUCGCUCUGGGCGUGCUGCGGGUUCCGGCCGUUAAACCACCUUCAUAACCCAAGGUUGACCUCGGAUCAGGCAGGAAGACCCGCUGAACUUAAGCAUAUCAAUAAGCGGAGGA